rnacentral:lncRNA from 1 species
GAAGUUCGUCCGCCGGACUCGGAAUGGGGCGAGACUUUGCGAGGUGCCUCGGGGUGCCAAAAAUAAGCCGCGGGCAAAGCCGCGCCCAAAAAUAAGCGCCCGAAGGUCGUGGUGCCAAAACCCCCCAGCGGAAAAAUGGCCAAAAAACGGGUGGGCUAUAGCCUUGGUGGGGGGCGCGGGCGAAGUUCGUCCGCCGGACUCGGAAUGGGGCGAGACUUUGCGCGGGGCCUCGGGGCGCCAAAAAUAAGCCGCGGCCAAAGCCACGCCCAAAAAUAAGCGCCCGAAGGUCGUGGUGCCAAAACCCCCCAGCGGAAAAAUGGCCAAAAAACGGGUGGGCUAUAGCCUUGGUGGGGGGCGCGGGCGAAGUUCGUCCGACGGACUCGGAAUGGGGCGAGACUUUGCGCGGGGCCUCGGGGCGCCAAAAAUAAGCCGCGGGCAAAGCCGCGCCCAAAAAUAAGCGCCCGAAGGUCGUGGUGCCAAAACCCCCCAGCGGAAAAAUGGCCAAAAAACGGGUGGGCUAUAGCCUUGGUGGGGGGCGCGGGCGAAGUUCGUCCGCCGGACUCGGAAUGGGGCGAGACUUUGCGAGGGGCCUCGGGGUGCAAAAAAUAAGCCGCGGGCAAAGCCGCGCCCAAAAAUAAGCGCCCGAAGGUCGUGGUGCCAAAACCCCCCAGCGGAAAAAUGGCCAAAAAACGGGUGGGCUAUAGCCUUGGUGGGGGGCGCGGGCGAAGUUCGUUCGCCGGACUAGGAAUGGGUCGAGACUUUGCGAGGGGCCUCGGGGUGCCUGUGGGAAGUCGCGGGCACAGCCGCGUCCAAAAAUAAGCGCCCGAAGGUCGUGGUGCCAAAACCCCCCAGCGGAAAAAUGGCCAAAAAACGGGUGGGCUAUAGCCUUGGUGGGGGGCGCGGGCGAAGUUCGUCCGCCGGACUCGGAAUGGGGCGAGACUUUGCGAGGGGCCUCGAGGUGCCCCCGGGAAGUCGCGGGCACAGCCGCGUCCAAAAAUAAGCGCCCGAAGGUCGUGGUGCCAAAACCCCCCAGCGGAAAAAUGGCCAAAAAACGGGUGGGGUAUAGCCUUGGUGGGGGGCGCGGGCGAAGUUCGUCCGCCGGACUCGGAAUGGGGCAAGACUUUGCGAGGGGCCUCGGGGUACCAAAAAUAAGCCGCGGACAAAGCCGCGGCCAAAAAUAAGUGCCCGAAGGUCGUGGUGCCAAAACCCCCCAGCGGAAAAAUGGCCAAAAAACGGGUGGGCUAUAGCCUUGGUGGGGGGCGCGGGCGAAGUUCGUCCGCCGGACUCGGAAUGGGGCGAGACUUUGCGAGGGGCCUCGGGGUGCCCGCGGGAAGUCGCGGGCACAGCCGCGCCCAAAAAUAAGAGCCCGAAGGUCGUGGUGCCAAAACCCCCCAGCGGAAAAAUGGCCAAAAAACGGGUGGGCUAUAGCCUUGGUGGGGGGCGCGGGCGAAGUUCGUCCGCCGGACUCGGAAUGGGGCGAGACUUUGCGAGGGGUCUCGGGGUGCCCGCGGGAAGUCGCGGGCACAGCCGCGUCCAAAAAUAAGCGCCCGAAGGUCGUGGUGCCAAAACCCCCCAGCGGAAAAAUGGCCAAAAAACGGGUGGGCUAUAGCCUUGGUGGGGGGCGCGGGCGAAGUUCGUCCGCCGGACUCGGAAUGGGGCGAGACUUUGCGCGGGGCCUCGGGGCGCCAAAAAUAAGCCGCGGUCAAAGCCGCGCCCAAAGGUCUUGGUGCCAAAACCCCCCAGCGGAAAAAUGGCCAAAAAACGGGUGGGCUAUAGCCUUGGUGGGGGGCGCGGGCGAAGUUCGUCCGCCGGACUCGGAAUGGGGCGAAACUUUGCGAGGGGCCUCGGGGUGCCCGCGGGAAGUCGCGGGCACAGCCGCGUCCAAAAAUAAGCGCCCGAAGGUCGUGGUGCCAAAACCCCCCUGCGGAAAAAUGGCCAAAAAACGGGUGGGCUAUAGCCUUGGUGGGGGGCGCGGGCGAAGUUCGUCCGCCGGACUCGAAAUGGGGCGA